UGUAAUUACAGUAAUGCGUUACCCAGUUGCCAGGCUGUGAAAUGGAGUAGCUAGCUUGGGAUCAUAUAGCACCAACCCUGAAAGAUCUGCACUGGCUGCCUAUAUGCUUCCUGGCUGAAUGUAAGCCCUUCUCCCAUAACAGAUGUCCCUAGAAGUCAAUCAGCAUGAAGGGUAGUGUGUUAGCUACUGAGAAGAGUCUGGUCAAUGGCUGACUUGCCUCCUUUCACUCUGGCUCCAAUCAGCAGGAGAGAAUGCUGGAGAUAUACAGACCCUGCUGGGACCCGUCACACCCAUUCCAGAUGACUACAUCCCUGCUUAAAAGACAGAAGGGAAUAAAGAAAGAAACAACAAUGAAGGUUGCUAAUAUUAUAUAUAUGCCGCGCAAUUGUUACGGUUGGAAAUUCCACUUACCUAAUGUGUGUAUUUUAUGGAUGUAAAUGUACA